rnacentral:rRNA from 1 species
UCGCCUGUUUAUCAAAAACAUGUCUGUUUGAAGGUUUAAGAAGUCUAGCCUGCCCACUGAUAAUAGAGUUAAAGGGCCGCGGUAUUUUGACCGUGCAAAGGUAGCAUAAUCAUUAGUCUUUUAAUUGAAGGCUUGUAUGAAUGGUUGGACAAAGGAAAAUCUGUCUUUAUAAUAUUAUUUGAAUUUAACUUUUAAGUGAAAAGGCUUAGAUGGACCAAGGGGACGAUAAGACCCUAUAAAACUUUAUAUAAAAUUAAAUUUGUUUAAAUUUAAUUAUUAAAAACCUAAGUUAAUAAUUAUAUUUUGUUGGGGCGACAUAGGUAUAAGUAAUUAUAAUAACUGUUUAAAUAUAAUACUAUAAAUUUAUGAGUUAAGAUUAUAAAUGAUCCUUAUUAAAGAUUAAAAGAUUAAGUUACUUUAGGGAUAACAGCGUAAUUUUUUUUGAGAGUUCCUAUCGAAAAGAGAGUUUGCGACCUCGAUGUUGAAUUAAAAUAUCUAUAUAAUGUAGUUGUUAUAAAAGAAGGUCUGUUCGACCUUUAAAUUUUUACGUGAUCUGAGUUCAGACCGGAC